UUGCCUUUUAGGUUGAAAAAUAUGGGAUUUGAUUUUAUUUUUUUAUAUGAUUUUCUCCACAUAGCUGAUGUACAAAAACGCGUUACGUAGAAAUCAAGAAACCGUUGAAGUUUGAAUUCAAAUUUAUUUAUUCACUACAUGUUUGAUUUUUUCUUAGCUUUAGUUUUCAUAUUUAUCAAUCUGCUUGACUUCCUACUAUAUAUAUAUUCUACUGGUCGGCACUCGGCAGGUUACAGGUUCGGAACCAAAACAAGAAAAGAAUAUCUGAUAAUGAAGAAAACAACAAAAGCUUUUCCUCUUCUUCUAAGUUUGAUUCACAUACUUCUAUGUCUAUCCUCUCAGGUUCGUGUCAUAGAGGCUAGAAUCCAUAACACAGGUGUUCGGAUAUGCGCAAGACCUCCCCCACCUUGUGGAGAUGAAUCUAUGGGAGGCGAUCAAGUUUCGGGACAUAAAGAUAAGCCUUGUAAAACCAUUCCAAGACCUCCUCCUCCUAAGUGCUCGUAGCCUCUCUUGUUCAUCAUUGUUUACAUUGUAAACUAAACAAACAAAUAACCAAGCUACUAGAGGUUAUGUAGUUUUAUAUUUGAUCAAACAUUCAUACAUAAAAGGAUAUGUACGACGCAGAGUAGGGCGACCCCUUGAAACAAGUGUGACUGAGAUUUAUAAUACCAUUUGUCAAUAAACAUUUAUUGUUAUUGUG